rnacentral:lncRNA from 1 species
UUUUUGUAUUAUGUGUAAAUGGUUAUGGAUAUUCUUCAAUUGAAAGGAAGGAUGACCAAGUGAGUCUAAAAAAUAAAGAUGUGUAUUCUGGGUGAAAUGAAAUAACAGGAAGUUCUUUUUUAGUUUAUACAUACCUUGGUCAGUUUUUUUAUUUAAUUCAGUAUCAUCAUUAUUCAGGUUGAAAUGUUAAACCUAUAUAUGUAAACAUUAGUUUUUUGGUAG